rnacentral:rRNA from 1 species
UAAUAGCUCACUGGUCGAGUCGGCCUGCGCGGAAGAUGUAACGGGGCUAAACCAUGCACCGAAGCUGCGGCAGCGACACUUAUGUGUUGUUGGGUAGGGGAGCGUUCUGUAAGCCGUUGAAGGUGUGCUGUGAGGCAUGCUGGAGGUAUCAGAAGUGCGAAUGCUGACAUAAGUAACGAUAAAGCGGGUGAAAAGCCCGCUCGCCGGAAGACCAAGGGUUCCUGUCCAACGUUAAUCGGGGCAGGGUGAGUCGACCCCUAAGGCGAGGCCGAAAGGCGUAGUCGAUGGGAAACAGGUUAAUAUUCCUGUACUUGGUGUUACUGCGAAGGGGGGACGGAGAAGGCUAUGUCAGCCGGGCGACGGUUGUCCCGGUUUAAGCGUGUAGGUGUGUGUUCCAGGCAAAUCCGGUUCACUUUAACACUGAGGCGUGAUGACGAGGCACUACGGUGCUGAAGUGAUAAAUGCCCUGCUUCCAGGAAAAGCCUCUAAGCAUCAGGUAACACGAAAUCGUACCCCAAACCGACACAGGUGGUCAGGUAGAGAAUACCAAGGCGCUUGAGAGAACUCGGGUGAAGGAACUAGGCAAAAUGGUGCCGUAACUUCGGGAGAAGGCACGCUGAUAUGUAGGUGAAGUCCCUGCGGACGGAGCUGAAAUCAGUCGAAGAUACCAGCUGGCUGCAACUGUUUAUUAAAAACACAGCACUGUGCAAACACGAAAGUGGACGUAUACGGUGUGACGCCUGCCCGGUGCCGGAAGGUUAAUUGAUGGGGUUAGCGGCAACGCGAAGCUCUUGAUCGAAGCCCCGGUAAACGGCGGCCGUAACUAUAACGGUCCUAAGGUAGCGAAAUUCCUUGUCGGGUAAGUUCCGACCUGCACGAAUGGCGUAAUGAUGGCCAGGCUGUCUCCACCCGAGACUCAGUGAAAUUGAACUCGCUGUGAAGAUGCAGUGUACCCGCGGCAAGACGGAAAGACCCCGUGAACCUUUACUAUAGCUUGACACUGAACACUGGUCCUUGAUGUGUAGGAUAGGUGGGAGGCUUUGAAGCGUGGACGCCAGUCUGCGUGGAGCCGUCCUUGAAAUACCACCCUUUAAUGGCUGGUGUUCUAACGUGGACCCGUGAUCCGGGUUGCGGACAGUGUCUGGUGGGUAGUUUGACUGGGGCGGUCUCCUCCCAAAGAGUAACGGAGGAGCACGAAGGUUAGCUAAUCCUGGUCGGACAUCAGGAGGUUAGUGCAAUGGCAUAAGCUAGCUUGACUGCGAGAGUGACGGCUCGAGCAGGUGCGAAAGCAGGUCAUAGUGAUCCGGUGGUUCUGAAUGGAAGGGCCAUCGCUCAACGGAUAAAAGGUACUCCGGGGAUAACAGGCUGAUACCGCCCAAGAGUUCAUAUCGACGGCGGUGUUUGGCACCUCGAUGUCGGCUCAUCACAUCCUGGGGCUGAAGUAGGUCCCAAGGGUAUGGCUGUUCGCCAUUUAAAGUGGUACGCGAGCUGGGUUUAGAACGUCGUGAGACAGUUCGGUCCCUAUCUGCCGUGGGCGCUGGAGAAUUGAGGGGGGCUGCUCCUAGUACGAGAGGACCGGAGUGGACGCAUCACUGGUGUUCGGGUUGUCAUGCCAAUGGCACUGCCCGGUAGCUAAAUGCGGAAGAGAUAAGUGCUGAAAGCAUCUAAGCACGAAACUUGCCCCGAGAUGAGUUCUCCCUGAGACUAUAAGUCUCCUGAAGGAACGUUGAAGACGACGACGUUGAUAGGCCGGGUGUGUAAGCGCAGCGAUGCGUUGAGCUAACCGGUACUAAUGAACCGUGAGGCUUAACCUUACAACGCCGAAG